UACAGAGGGUGCAAACGUUGCUCGGAAUUAUUGGGCGUAAAGCGCACGUAGGCGGCUUAGCAAGUCGGAAGUGAAAUCCCUCGGCUCAACCAAGGAAGUGCUUUCGAAACUGCUGAGCUUGAGUACUUAAGAGGAUCGCGGAAUUCCCGGUGUAGAGGUGAAAUUCGUAGAUAUCGGGAGGAACACCAGUGGCGAAGGCGGCGAUCCGGGAAGAUACUGACGCUGAGGUGCGAAAGCGUGGGGAGCAAACAGG
rnacentral:rRNA from 1 species